UUCCCCCGGCCUGGAGGUCCCGCAC
rnacentral:piRNA from 1 species